GCCUGGAUAGCUCAGUUGGUAAGAGCUCGGUGCGGAUAACACCAAGGUUGCUGCAGCUUCGAUCCCUGUAUGGGACA